rnacentral:rRNA from 1 species
GCAUAUCAAUAAGCGGAGGAAAAGAAACUAACAAGGAUUCCCCUAGUAACGGCGAGUGAAGAGGGAAAAGCUCAAAUUUUAAAUCUACCUGGUUCCCAGGUCGAACUGUAUUUUGAAGAAACGAUAUCGGUGUUGAGGUCUGGUUCAAGUUCUUUGGAACAAGACAUCAUGGAGGGUGAGAAUCCCGUGCACGAUCAGAUCAAGAUACUUAAUAUUCGUUUUCUAAGAGUCGAGUUGUUUGGGAAUGCAGCUCAAAUUGGGUGGUAGACUUCACCUAAGGCUAAAUAUCAGCGAGAGACCGAUAGCGAACAAGUACUGUGAAGGAAAGAUGAAAAGCACUUCGAAAAGAGAGUUAAAUAGUACGUGAAAUUGUUGAAAGGGAAACGAUUGAAGUCAGUCAUGCUAGUGAAAAUUCAGUUUGACGGGUUUUGGGUUUAGGAGUAAGAGGUAGGGUUAAACCGUCUCCCUUUUAAACUUGGGAUUUGUCGGAUGCACUUCUUCUUUGGCAGGUCAGUGUCGAUUUCGGGGGUUGUAAAAUACUUGGGGGAAAGUAGCUCUGCUUCGGGAGAGUGUUAUAGACCUUGGGAGAUGCAGCCCGUGGGAUCGAGGAUUGCAGCAAAUGCCUUUGGCUUGUCUUCUGAUCUUUGGUUGUUACCUCAUUUAUGACAACAUUCUUGUCAUCGAUGAGUUCUAAUGGUUAUGGGUUAGAAUGAUCAAAAAUUUGCUAAGGAUGCUGACGUAAUGGCUUUAAACGAC